rnacentral:tRNA from 1 species
GGACCGUUAGCUCAGUCUGGUAGAGCACUCGGCUCUUAACCGAGUGGUCGGGGGUUCGAAGCCCCUACGGUCCG